ACCCAGUGACUGAGAAGUUUCCUCUAGACGCCUCCUUGUCUUCUAGAAGCAUCUAUUCAUUCUUAACGCUCUGGGAAAUGAAUGAGAAAAACAAAGACACCUGGCAGAAAGCA
rnacentral:lncRNA from 1 species